rnacentral:rRNA from 1 species
UACGUAGGGGGCAAGCGUUGUCCGGAUUUAUUGGGCGUAAAGAGCGUGUAGGCGGUUCGGUAGGUCCGUUGUGAAAACUCGAGGCUCAACCUCGAGACGCCGAUGGAAACCAUCGAACUAGAGUCCGGAAGAGGAGAGUGGAAUUCCCGGUGUAGCGGUGAAAUGCGCAGAUAUCGGGAAGAACACCCGUGGCGAAGGCGGCUACUCUGGGACGGUACUGAGCGCUGAGACGCGAAAGCGGUGGGGAGCGAACGAG